rnacentral:rRNA from 1 species
AACGGCGCUACAGCAGUCGAACGGGAAUCUUCGGAUUCUAGUGGCGGACGGGUGAGUAACGCGUAAGAAUCUAACUUCAGGACGGGGACAACAGUUGGAAACGACUGCUAAUACCCGAUGUGCCGCAAGGUGAAACCUAAUUGGCCUGAAGAAGAGCUUGCGUCUGAUUAGCUAGUUGGUGGGGUAAGAGCCUACCAAGGCGACGAUCAGUAGCUGGUCUGAGAGGAUGAGCAGCCACACUGGGACUGAGACACGGCCCAGACUCCUACGGGAGGCAGCAGUGGGGAAUUUUCCGCAAUGGGCGAAAGCCUGACGGAGCAACGCCGCGUGAGGGAGGAAGGUCUUUGGAUUGUAAACCUCUUUUCUCAAGGAAGAAGUUCUGACGGUACUUGAGGAAUCAGCCUCGGCUAACUCCGUGCCAGCAGCCGCGGUAAUACGGGGGAGGCAAGCGUUAUCCGGAAUUAUUGGGCGUAAAGCGUCCGCAGGUGGUCAGCCAAGUCUGCCGUCAAAUCAGGUUGCUUAACGACCUAAAGGCGGUGGAAACUGGCAGACUAGAGAGCAGUAGGGGUAGCAGGAAUUCCCAGUGUAGCGGUGAAAUGCGUAGAGAUUGGGAAGAACAUCGGUGGCGAAAGCGUGCUACUGGGCUGUAUCUGACACUCAGGGACGAAAGCUAGGGGAGCGAAAGGGAUUAGAUACCCCUGUAGUCCUAGCCGUAAACGAUGGAUACUAGGCGUGGCUUGUAUCGACCCGAGCCGUGCCGAAGCUAACGCGUUAAGUAUCCCGCCUGGGGAGUACGCACGCAAGUGUGAAACUCAAAGGAAUUGACGGGGGCCCGCACAAGCGGUGGAGUAUGUGGUUUAAUUCGAUGCAACGCGAAGAACCUUACCAAGACUUGACAUGUCGCGAACCCUGGUGAAAGCUGGGGGUGCCUUCGGGAGCGCGAACACAGGUGGUGCAUGGCUGUCGUCAGCUCGUGUCGUGAGAUGUUGGGUUAAGUCCCGCAACGAGCGCAACCCUCGUUCUUAGUUGCCAGCAUUAAGUUGGGGACUCUAAGGAGACUGCCGGUGACAAACCGGAGGAAGGUGGGGAUGACGUCAAGUCAGCAUGCCCCUUACGUCUUGGGCGACACACGUACUACAAUGGUCGGGACAAAGGGCAGCGAACUCGCGAGAGCCAGCGAAUCCCAGCAAACCCGGCCUCAGUUCAGAUUGCAGGCUGCAACUCGCCUGCAUGAAGGAGGAAUCGCUAGUAAUCGCCGGUCAGCAUACGGCGGUGAAUUCGUUCCCGGGCCUUGUACACACCGCCCGUCACACCAUGGAAGCUGGUCACGCCCGAAGUCAUUACCUCAACCGCAAGGAGGGGGAUGCCUAAGGCAGGGCUAGUGACUGGGGUGAAGUCGUAACAAGGUAGCCGUACCGGAAGGUGUGGCUGGAUCACCUCCUUAAAGGGAGACCUAAUUCCGGUAGGAGACGAAAAAAAAGUAGUCGCUACCAAGAAUCAAUCCCAAAAGGUCGGAGCGAGGCAAAAUUGGCUUUCAAACUAGGUUCUGGGUUCACACAAGACCUGAAUCAGGAACAAGGGCUAUUAGCUCAGGUGGUUAGAGCGCACCCCUGAUAAGGGUGAGGUCCCUGGUUCGAGUCCAGGAUGGCCCACCUGUACAGGUGGCAAAAACAAGAGAAGCGAGGAAUCAGCACCUUAUCUUACUGACAUAGUAAGAGAGAAUGCUGGCUCUGAGUAAAGAGUCCAGAGGAACCUUGAAAACUGCAUAGAGCUAGGUGAAAAAGCCAAAAAAGAAGACCGCAAGGUCAAGCUAAUAAGGGCUAACGGUGGAUACCUAGGCACACGGAAGCGAAGAAGGACGUAGUUACCGACGAAACGCUUCGGGGAGCGGGAAGCAAGCAUUGAUCCGAAGAUAUCCGAAUGGGGCAACCCUAAACACGACCACCUGAAUACAUAUGGUGGAGCGAGCAAACCUGGUGAACUGAAACAUCUUAGUAGCCAGAGGAAAAGAAAGCAACAGCGAUUCCCCCAGUAGCGGCGAGCGAAAAGGGAACAGCCUAAACCAAGUUCUUCGGAACCUGGGGUCGUGGGACAGUGACCAAAGACUGGGAAAUUUAGACGAAGCGGCUGAAAACCGCACCAGAGAGGGUGAAAGUCCUGUAUUCCAAAAAGGAACCAGCUUAACGGCCUCUCCAAUAGCAUGGGGCACGUGAAAUNCCGUGUGAAUCUGCCUCGACCCCAGGUAAGGCUUAAUAUUCCGUGUGACCGAAGAAAAACCUUCCCCGGAGGAAAGUGGAAAGAACCCGGAAGGGAUGAAAAAAAAUUGAACCUUUUCUUACAAAAUGGGAGAAAAUGAACUUUGACCGUGCCUGUGAAAAUGACCCCAAAA